rnacentral:misc_RNA from 1 species
GAUGAAGAACGCAGCGAAAUGCGAUACUUGGUGUGAAUUGCAGAAUCCCGUGAACCAUCGAGUUUUUGAACGCAAGUUGCGCCCGAAGCCUUUUGGCCGAGGGCACGUCUGCCUGGGCGUCACGCAUCGCGUCGCCCCCCACAAUUCUCCGUAAAGGGAACAUGUGUUUUGGGGGCGGAUAUUGGUCUCCCGUGCUCAUGGCGUGGUUGGCCGAAAUAGGAGUCCUUUCGAUGGACGCACGAACUAGUGGUGGUCGUAAAAACCCUCGUCUUUUGUUUCGUGCUGUUGCUCGCAAGGUAAACUCUUUAAAAACCCCAAUGUGUCGUCUCUUGACGACGCUUCGACCGCGACCCCAGGUCAGGCGGGACUACCCGCUGAGUUUAAGCAUAUCAAUAAGCGGAGGA